AGCAAGACAAGCUUUGAGGGCUAAGCCGAUUCCCAGCUGAAACCAUUUUCUAUUUCGGUCUGCACUAAACACUGAGCUUGCAGCUUGGUUUGACACUGCUGGGAGUGUGUACAACUGCACCAACCCUAACUGUGAAGUGAGAGUGAUUACACCUCUCUGAAUGAGCAACUACAUUCCCAAAGCUGCAAUCAUACCGUGGAGUUUGCAGGUCUCGGCUGGACUUUUUGGAUGAUAAUUGAACCUUGUCUUUGUUCAGAUGUCAAGGGCAUCAAACCCAGACAGUGCCCUCUUUUAUCCGGAGGUCAAACACUGGCGAGCUCUAACAACAGUUCCAAUGGCCUGACAACUGAGGGUUUUGUCUUGUUCUUGGGUGUGUAUAUGUGUGGGUGGGGGUGUACCUGCUUACUUAUCCCGUUUCUCCUUUCAGCUUUUCAUCUCGACACAAAGCCCAGUCAAUCGUCACGCUCCUUUUGAUUAUCCAUGUCUCUGUUAUGAAUAUGGGAUCACUGUCUCCACAAGGACAAUAAAGUGGAUUUUAGAUUUACGUGACUGGGGACACAUACGGGACGAUUCGUGCUGUUUGUCAUUACAGUCAACAGAAUUUAGAGAUUAAGAGAUUUAGAGAUUAAUCAGUGUUUGUAUAGUUUCUGUCUCAGACACUCCACCCUUGGCUCAUAGAGCAUCUGAACUCUUUUGUAUGUUUACAAUGCCACUCCAACAGCCUCUUCCUGUAAAAAGUAGGCUCAUGUUCAUGUUGAGUGAUGAAAAGUACCGUACUCUACAGCCUGCAAGUCUAGAUUUCAUGUAGUAACGUUACAAAAGUCAUUUAUUUUCUUUGGGUGUCUCAUAUGCUUAGUGAAGAGAAGGUUGUGAGUUCAAAUCACAGGUCUACCAGAGAGUUAGGCUUCUUCUGGACUUGUCUCAAAGCACCCAGCCUCAACUGACUCUUUAUAAACAGCAUGUAAAAAAAACCUACUACCUCAACUGUCUCUUUUAAAUAGCACGCAGCAUUUCUUAAACCUUUCGGCAUGAAAAUGCAAAUAAUUACAGAUAUGUACCUUAUUCAUAACAGUUAAGUCAUCCUCUAUUCAUACCAACAUUUCAUCAGUCACAUGCUGUGUUUUUCUCUUUAAUAUUUUGCCUGUUUAAUUUUUCCACUGCGCAUCUGAUUCCACUUCAUAUCAUUUGCUGCUUUACUUUGCACAGCUACAGUAUUUCCACUUUAUCUAAUUUUACUUCUCAUUUUCAUUUUUUGUUUUAUUCUAUUUCAUUUUACUGUAUUCUGUUUACUUUUUUUUAAUCCCUCUUUGGAUUCUCUAUCUGAUUAUAUUUCUUAAAAAACAUACAGUCGUAAAAUGUUUGCUGCAUGUCGUAUGACUGUGUAUUCGAAUUUGAUUCGAUUUGAUUUGCUGUUGCGUCUCUUUAACUGCAUGUACAUCUGCUUUGGAUUAUGCCCAUUUGUAAGCUGAAUUAAUACAUACAGGCAAAAUAAUGAAAACAACGUGUCUUUGCCGGAUUAAGUCUACUUUUUGCAUUACACUGCAAUCAAGACAAUCACAUUUUUUAGGGGAUGGAGUUAAGGGUUAGUCCGUAUUGCUUAAGUCAUUUUAUAAAUAUGUAUGAAACAACAGGCUAAUUUGUAUCAGACUCAAGAAUAUAACAUGAUAAUUACUGAAUGUGGAAACCUGGUACAAAUAGUUAAAUUCUACAUACAAACAGCAGUAACGAGCAGGUUGCCAGAUCUGAGACAAAUCACACAAACAAAACUAAUCCAAUAGAGCCUGUUCAUUUUACACAAACGUAUCAUACCACAACUUUCUCACACACACACACACACACACACACACACACACACACACACACACACACACACACACACACACACAGAUAUACAGAUAUAUAGGAAAUUGAGCAUUGCAAAUCCACCUGAAUUCAUAUCUCUAGGAAAUGGGAGGAAUGCAGAGAACCCUGAGGAAACCCUGAACUGGGAAGAACACGUGAAACUUCACACAAAUGCCUGAUGCAGAUCACUGUUACUCUUAGCGUCCUGAACUGGAUUAUUGUCAGUAGCUUGUCAGUUCCUUGCCAGACCACCAGAGGGGGUCUGACAGGUAUUUUUUCAUUGCCCACCUUUUGUUUCCAUAUGGGCUGUGCCACGCCAUUUAUUAUUCUGUUUUCCUGCCAUCUCACCUGUUUCUUGUUUACCUUGAUGUACGGUCUUGUUGUCCUUGUGAUCAUGAGUCAUUGUUGUUGUGCAUGAGCCAUGAAAGCGUAAUACGCAGCUUGUCAUAUUACCAAGAGACCAAAAAAAACUCCUCGUUAAACGUUUAUAAAUGAUAUGCCCUGUAGCGGAACUACUCUCAGUGCUGCUGUUACAGAACAUUAAUCAACACCACAAAUCACCAAAAACUAAUCAGUUGUGAGAAUUGAGCAUCCGUGUAAUUCAAAUUUUUUUUACUUGUAUUCUUUAAGGUUCCAUAAAGAAUUUUUGAGUAACUCUUAUAGACUUGCAGUAAGCCUACAGGACCCAGACUCUUGUCAAUUCGUGAUCCUGUCCUCAGCUCAGAUUUGAGCUUCUCUCUGAGGAAAACUGCUGUCAUCAGUGCAGAGGUUUCAGCCUCAACUACGCAUGUACAAUUUCUACUACCAAAAUAAAAAAGAAAUACAACAAGGGCCACACAAAUCAUACGAGAAAAAAAAAAAGGACUGGCAUGUCAACAGUCUACAUGCUUGUGCCAUUUCAGACAUGUAGUAAAUUUAUCAGAAGUGUUUGAUGUUGUAGGAUGUGGAAGGUCGGGUACAAUAACACAGCUCAGGUCUGAAUGAGCAAAAGAAAAAUAAUAAGGGGCAUUGAGACUGAAAUGCAGGGAGUGAAAAACAAGGAGUAUCAUGCAGAACAUGAAAGGCACAAAUCAUGUCAGUUGGUGAUUAAGAGUCAGUCAGUCAGCAAGCAGCAUCUGCUUCCUCUUGCGCCAAUUACCCAUCUCCCUUUCAGAGCCAUGACCUUACAUGGGAUUUGGGAGUUAUGGGUCUCUCUCUCUCUCUCUCUCUCUCUCUCUCUCUCUCUCUCUCUCUCUCUCUCUCUCUCUCUCUCUUUCUCUCCUUUCUUAUGUCUACUUCACAGCCAUAGAUCAUAGAUGUACACACUGUAAAUGGGACUAAACCAAAGCUUAUUAAAGAGAAUGCACUGAUGUGGCUUGCAGAUGCAUCAUUUAUUUUUUUUUAAGUUUGAUCUAUAUUGUAUCUCACCUGGGGGAGUGCUGCACUGGUGUUGCAGACUUCAAAAAGCUCACAAAGGGACGGGGCACAGACACAACCAUGCUGUGAGUAGGAUUAAUGAAGAUCAGGAUUUAUUUCCUUUAACAAACACAGAAUAAGGACAAGUUAGUAUACACAGCACAGUUAAAUACACAGAAUUUCUCAUUCCCCUAUAAGCACCCACCAUGCUUAUGCUGAAGAAAUCACGCAUAAGAUUUGUACAAAAACAAUAUACUAUGUAUAACAUUCUCAUCGAUCAUCUGUUUGUUGUUAAUAAAUAUUCAAAUCAAACAUGAAUAAUCAAAUUCCUGAAUGACAGAACAAACCAACACAGUAUAUUAUUUACUUGUUUGUACGUGUUCAAUGCAUACGAAUUUGCAUCUGUAUCAACAUACCACAUUGAAGUAAAACUUAGAAACAUACAUUUAACAAACACAGAAUAGGGACAAAUUAGUAUACACAGGAACACUACGAUAUUUCUCGUUACCUGCUCGAGCACCCAGGUGUGGAAUAAAAGGGAAAAAAAUAGUAUUUUAUAAGAAUUAUAAGUGAUAUUUCAGUCAAGGUCCACUAAAUAAAUGCAUACUUCAAAUGCUACAAGCCUAUAUAACAAUUGUUUGUAAUAAUUUGACAGAAACUUCAUAUAAAGUGAAGUAUUCAUGCAAUGGGGGAGGCACGUGGAGAACAUGCCCCCGAGGGACGUGGAGAACAUGCAAACUCCACACACAAGGCGGAGGCGGGAAUCGAACCCCCAGCCCUGGAGGUGUGAGGCAAACGUGCUAACCACUAAGCCACCAUGCCCCAUUAUAUAAACAAUACAUUUUAAACAAGUUUUGUGGAAGUUUUGUGGAACUAAUUUAAUAACAUAUCGCCUCACACCUCCAGGGUCGGGGUUCGAUUCCCGCCUCGGCCUUGUGU